rnacentral:rRNA from 1 species
UGCCAGCAGCCGCGGUAAUACGGAAGGUGCGAGCGUUAAUCGGAAUUACUGGGCGUAAAGCGCACGUAGGCGGUUCGGUAAGUCGGAUGUGAAAACUCUGGGCUCAACCCAGAGAGGCCAUUCGAUACUGCUGUGACUAGAGUGCGGUAGGGGAGCGGGGAAUUCCUGGUGUAGCGGUGAAAUGCGCAGAUAUCAGGAGGAACACCAGUGGCGAAGGCGGCUCACUGGACCGAUACUGACGCUGAGGAGCGAAAGCGUGGGGAGCAAACAGGAUUAGAUA